rnacentral:rRNA from 1 species
UAGGGAAUCUUCCACAAUGGACGCAAGUCUGAUGGAGCAACGCCGCGUGAGUGAAGAAGGCUUUCGGGUCGUAAAACUCUGUUAUUGAAGAAGAACGUGUGUGACAGUAACUGGUCAUGCAGUGACGGUAUUCAAUCAGGAAGUCACGGCUAACUACGUGCCAGCAGCCGCGGUAAUACGUAGGUGGCAAGCGUUGUCCGGACUUAUUGGGCGUAAAGCGAGUGCAGGCGGUCUUUUAAGUCUGAUGUGAAAGCCUUCGGCUUAACCGAAGAAGGGCAUCGGAAACUGGGAGACUUGAGUGCAGAAGAGGAGAGUGGAACUCCAUGUGUAGCGGUGAAAUGCGUAGAUAUAUGGAAGAACACCAGUGGCGAAGGCGGCUCUCUGGUCUGUAACUGACGCUGAGGCUCGAAAGCGUGGGUAGCAAACAGGAUUAGAUACCCUGGU